rnacentral:lncRNA from 13 species
CGGGACGUUCCUCUCGUGGCCCCCCCGCGCCGCUCCCGCACGAAGCGGCCGCCGGCCGGGCCGGCCGCGGGCAGCAACAGCGACCUGGUGCGGGGCUGGGCCGGGGGGCGCGGGGACCCCCGGGCUGGGGGACCCCCGGGAGGGGCGGUCAGACAGGCUCCGGCUUCCCAGUGCUCCCAGUAUGGGAAUGGCAGUGCCGGGGAGGGGGCAGUGGGAGGAAGUUUCCCUGGGGAAUGGCAAGGGGAGAGGGGGGGUGAUGGUGUGGGAAUUCAGGGAUUCGGGACUUCGGGAAUGGCGGGGGCAGGGAUAUAGAGUUUGGGGAUGCGGGAUUUGGGAAUGCAGGGAUAUAGGGUGUGGGAAUUCAGGGGUGAGGGGUGCAGGAUUUGGGAAUGCAGGGGUGCCGGGAUGUGGAAUUCAGGGAUUUUGGGAAUGCAGGAUUUGGGAAUGCAGGGGUAGCCAGGGACGGAGGGAUGUGGAAUUCGGAGAUGCGGGGACGCAGGAUUUGGGAAUGCGGGGACGCAGGAUUUGCGAAUUCGGGGACGCAGGAUUUGGGAAUGCAGGGGUAGCCAGGGACGCAGGAAUUUGGGAAUUCGGGGGUGCAGGGACGCAGGAUUUGGGAAUUUGGGGAUGCAGGGAUGCUCGUAUGUGGAAUUUGGGGACACAGGAUUUGGGAAUUUGGGGAUGCAGGAUUUGGGAAUCCGGGGAUGCAGGGAUGCUCGUAUGUGGAAUCUGGGGAUGCAGGAUUUGGGAAUCUGGGGAUGCAGGAUUUGGGAAUUUGGGGAUGCAGAAUUUGGGAAUCCGGGGGUGCAGGGGAUGCGGGAUUUGGGAAUUCGGGGAUGCAGGAUUUGGGAAUUCAGGGAUGCAGGAUUUGGGAAUCUGGGGGUGCAGGAUUUGGGAAUCCAGGGGUGCAGGGGAUGCGGGAUUUGGGAAUUCAGGG